AUCUGAAGACGUGAUGUGGACUGAAAAUAAGUAGGGAAGCACGUGAGCUGACUGUCAAGAAAAGCCGCUAUUGUUUGCAGGAUACCCGUACCGUAAACCGACACAGGUGGAUGAGGAGAGAAUCCUAAGGCCGACGGGAGAAGCAUUGUUAAGGAACUCGGCAAAAUGACUCCGUAACUUCGGGAGAAGGAGUGCCAGUAAGAUGGCCGCAGAGAAUUGGCCCAAGCAACUGUUUAGCAAAAACACAGGUCUAUGCAAAACCGAAAGGUGAGGUAUAUGGGCUGACGCCUGCCCGGUGCUGGAAGGUUAAGGGGAGAGGUUAGCGCAAGCGAAGCUUUGAACUUAAGCCCCAGUAAACGGCGGCCGUAACAAUAACGGUCCUAAGGUAGCGAAAUUCCUUGUCGGGUAAGUUCCGACCCGCACGAAAGGCGUAAUGAUUUGGGCACUGUCUCAACAAUGCACCCGGUGAAAUUGAAAUACCAGUGAAGAUGCUGGUUACCUGCGCCAGGACGGAAAGACCCCAUGGAGCUUUACUCCAGCUUGAUACUGGGAUUCGGUAUUGCAUGUACAGGAUAGGUGGGAGGCUAGGAAAUGGUAACGCCAGUUGCCAUGGAGCCAAUGUUGGGAUACCACCCUUGCAGUACUGGGUUUCUAACCAGCAGCCGUGAUCCGGCUGGGGGACAAUGUCAGGUGGGGAGUUUGACUGGGGCGGUCGCCUCCGAAAGGGUAUCGGAGGCGCUCAAAGGUUCCCUCAGAAUGGUUGGAAACCAUUCGAAGAGUGCAAAGGCAGAAGGGAGCUUGACUGCGACACCGACGGGUGGAGCAGGUACGAAAGUAGGACUUAGUGAUCCGGUGGUAUAAAGUGGGAUUGCCAUCGCUCAACGGAUAAAAGCUACCCUGGGAUAACAGGCUUAUCACUCCCAAGAGUUCACAUCGACGGAGUGGUUUGGCACCUCGAUGUCGGCUCAUCGCAUCCUGGGGCUGAAGUAGGUCCCAAGGGUUGGGCUGUUCGCCCAUUAAAGCGGUACGCGAGCUGGGUUCAGAACGUCGUGAGACAGUUCGGUCCCUAUCCGGCGUGGGCGUAAGAUAUUUGAGAGGAGCUGUCCUUAGUACGAGAGGACCGGGAUGGACUGGCCGCUGGUGUAUCUGUUGUCUUACCAAAGGCAUAGCAGAGUAGCCAAGCCGGGAAGGGAUAAACGCUGAAGGCAUCUAAGCGUGAAGCCCCCCUCAAGAUGAGAUAUCUCAUAACGUCAAGUUAGUAAGACCCCUUGAAGACGACGAGGUAGAUAGGGCAGAGGUGGAAGUGUGGUAACACAUGGAGCUGACUGUUACUAAUAGGUCGAGGGCAUAACC
rnacentral:rRNA from 1 species